rnacentral:lncRNA from 1 species
AAACAAGGUGAUUGAUACGGUGACUUUAAUCACCAAGCAGCUUUAUCUAGAAGAACCACAAAUUGCUCCUCAGCUACUCAGAAAGAGAGGGGCUUGAUGGCCAUCUCUGAGGAUUAGCAACGUGGAGCAUCAGGACAGGUGAGGUGGUGGGGAGGUGGUCAGCAGAGACUCCAGUCCCCAGGGGGCUCCUGAGACACCUUAACUCUCGUAAACUUGUGCUCCUGGAUCUCCUGGGAGUCCUGUUUGAGUCUCUGCCCUUUUUAGUAUUUUUUGGCCACACCAUACAUCGUGUAGGACCUUAUUUCCUGGACCAGGGAUCAAACCCACGCCCCCUGCAGUGGAAGCUUGGAGUCUUACCCACUGAACCACCAGGUAAGCACCCUCCCGCCUGAGUCUCUGCCUUUUGAUAGGAGAGUGGAAGACAUUAACCUUUAUUGUACUGUUUGUUUAGACUUACUUGGCCAUCUUAUUUUAAUUCAUCAUGAUUUCAUUGUGUUACAUUUUUAAAUUGAUCAAAGUAUCUAUUUCAUUUCCCCCCCUCAACUGCUUUGAAAAUUAUGCCUUCUGUCUCUGUUUGCCUAAUGAAUAACUGUAUAUUUUCAACACACAUACUUAGUUUUCUAAUAAUGUUUAUUGUUUAACAGCAUCUCUGUUCCAGCCUGGUCUUUGCGAAAGCUGAUAAAUCCCCGAGGCAGGGAUUAGGGAGUGGGGGAGGGGCCCCAGCACUGUCUCUGUUUCUGCAUAUGACCUUUAUUUAUCCUUAGAGCUGCCUGGAAAGAAGGGUUCGUCCUUCCAUUCAUGGAUGAGUUAAGUGACGCUCAAGAGCCGAAGAUGGUGGUCCAGGGCUUAUCAGCAAGUGGGCGGCCAAGCAGGAGUUCUAAGUCCUGGCUCUUUCUGCCAUUUUUUGUCUGUCUGUCUGUACGGUUCACCACUUGUCUGUACUUCCUCAACAAAGAGCCAGUGAGCUGGAGUAUGAAGACAGAGUCAGAGGUCACCCUUGCUGAUCCGUAGAGAACAGCCUUGGUUGAGGCCACAGACAUUCCAUGAAAGGCACUGUCCAUGAUGCCUUGGAGCUCGUGAGUGGGUUUACUGUGGGACAAACCCCUGAGUUUGGAAUUGUGCGUGAGAGAGUGGAGGAGGGUUCGAGUCCCAGCUGUCUUCAGAGGAGCGCGUUCUCCGAGGCGUGUGUGUCGCUGCCACCCCAGCCGUGACAGGCUUAGCGCACGUCGUCCCGGAGCUCCAUCAAACUGAAGACUGUCUUUUAAACACAGCAGCAGGAAGAGCCUCGAGAGAGGCCCCAACCCGGCGGGGUGGGGAGCUCCUAGCGGGGCUGCAUGCUGAGCCUGGAGAAGCUGGUUACCCACCUCCCGGCCACCCACCCGCAUCGCCCCGCUUCAGAUAAGACUCGGGAAGAGCGGUCAGACUCCUUAAUUAAAGCCGUGCUACCAGAUAUGGUGGAGUGUUUUUCCUUUUAAUAGCUUCAGUGAGACAUAAUUAACAUACUAUACAAUUCUCCCUUUUAAAGUGUACGAGUCAAUGCUUUUCAGCACAUUCACAGAGUUUUACAAUCAAUUUUGGAGUAUUUUCAUUACCCCAUAAAGAAAUCUUCAUCUACCCACCGGUCACCCAGCCCCUCCCCUCAGCUGCCGCUGGCCGGUUUCUCUCUCUGUGGAUUUGUCCAUUCUGGACCUUUCGUGUAAAUGGAGCCCUGCAAUAGCUGGUCCUUUGUGAUGGGCUUCUUCUACUUAGCAUCAUGUUUUCAGGGCUCGUCCAUAUAGCAGGUGUCAGUAUUGUAUUCUUUUUUUAUUAACAAGUAAAUAUUCAUUACUUUGUCAACAGAGGUCCGUCUAGUCAAGGCUGUGGUUUUUCCUGUGGUCAUGUAUGGAUGUGAGAGUUGGACUGUGAAGACGGCUGAGCGCUGAAGAAUUGAUGCUUUUGAACUGUGGUGUUGGAGAAGACUCUUGAGAGUCCCUUGGACUGCAAGGAGAUCCAACCAGUCCAUUCUGAAGGA